GUGUGUAUAGCUCAGCGAUAGAGCGCGUGCUUAGCAUGCAAAAGAUCCUGGGUUCAAUUCCCAGCAUCCCCA
rnacentral:tRNA from 1 species